CGAGAUGUAACGCAGCUUGGUAGCGUGUCUGCUUUGGGAGCAGAAAGUCGCAGGUUCAAAUCCUGCCAUCUCGA
rnacentral:tRNA from 1 species